GUGACGUCGGUCGGCGCGUUCAACAGGCGCACCUGGAGAGAAGCAGGCCGCCGUCCAGGUGAUGAGAUUCACCUGUGGAGUCAAAGCGUCACCACAUGUAAAAAUUCAUGAUCGAUCAAAGCUGCCUCAGAGUGAAUGAAUUCAUCCAUCAGAAACUCUCAUGUUCGAUAUUUACUGCACUGCAGUAUUUGCAGUACUGCGGGUCGUCAGUAACUCCCAGUGAGUUUGUCAGCUCCACAGUCCAGCAGGUCCUAACAGUUUGGUUAUGGACAAUAACGGACCAGGAAGACGAAGACGGAGUCCACCGUGUACCACGAGGUCCCCCAGAAGCUGCUGGAUGGUGUUAGCUGUAUGGCCGUAAACAUGGAGCCAACAUCGCGGGGGCCCAACCCCCCGCACCCGCUGCCAGUCUAAAAUACUUAAAAAUUCUAAAAUAUUAACUUUUAUAAAUCUUUUUUCCCAAUAACGUCAAAAUGUUUAGUGAAGUACAAUAUUCUGUUUGUUUGUUUUUUAUUUUUUGUGUUUCAUCGUGUGUAAAUUUAGAGACGAAUAAAACACAACCAUAACUAAUCAUAGGAACUGUUCUGUCCUCAGGUUGAAAUAUAAAGAAAAGGAAAUAUGUAUUUAAAUGGUGUUUUUCUACAACUUUGAUCCUUUAUGAUAUACUGUUUAUUGCAAAAGAAAAGAGACCAGUAUGUUGUAAGGUAAAGGAUGAGCUUUUAUUUUGAAUGACGUUUCUGUUUACAUCUGAGUGUUCCCAUGAGCCUCCGGUCUGAACGUAAUGUAACGUGAUGAAUGUAAGAUUCCCGCAGUACUUCAGUUGCUAUCACUGUCAGUAAUGUGAUGUUCCUGAUAUUUCGCUCUUCAAGUUUUGUACUCCACACACACCCAUGGCAGCAAUGUCUUUUUACUCGCUUUUCACCUGCUACACUGGAAAAUAAAAGGAGCAAGGCGCUCGCUUCCUGGCUCGUUGAAAACGAGUUUGGCUUGCUGUGGAGUCUGUGUUCACGCACGUAGCUUACACACAGAUAGGAACA